ensembl:miRNA
GAUUGGGGGUGGAUCUGACGUCCCUGAGUGUAUGUGGUGAACCGGAAUGUGCCUUGGGUUUCCUCAUAUUCAUUCAGGAGUGUCAGCUGCCCCUUUA